UAUUUGUACUGCAAGUCCAAAAAUCAAUAAAUUGUCUGAAACCAGGGAGUCCAUCUUUUAUGCUCUUCCAUUGACUUAGCUCCCUUGGGUAAGAUCUCAAACAUGUCAGCUCCCAGUGAUGGUUUGGCAGACAAAUGUUUACAGUGAAGUUUGUGACUUUAAUAAUCUAGGAUGAGCAUGUGGGCUAUCCCAGCCUUAUACAUCUACAUAUUACAAACUAUUUAAGAUAUCUGAAUGCACUAAAGACCAAAAUAGCAUUUCCAAAAAAAAUAAUUAGUAAUUACUGCCAAGAAAUUUGACAAUCAUGACAAUAAUUUAGUGAAUAAACAUGAUAAAUAUUGAUUGGAAAAAUAAGUCCAUGAACAGCAAAAAGUGUUUUUAGAUUUCAACGAGCAAAACAAAAGUAUUCUAAAUCAUUCUUCGUAAAAAAAAAAAGGUGAGCGAGUGGAACCACCUUGCUCGCACCAGAAUUGAGAUUGAGAGUGUCAAAACUGCUCUGGCGCACCAUCAAUAAAUCAACGACACUCUCUCUACCGUGGUAUUGAAACCAGCAUUUGUAACCAAACAUAUUCAUACAGAUACAGACUACCAUUCAUCUACAUUUAGGAAGUCUGAAUAAUACUGAAAACUAUGGUGUAGAAUUUCCAACAGGACUCCUUAUUUUAUAUAAGACAAGGAGUGGUUUAUUUUCCCAUGGUUGUUACAUCAUCUUGUCUUUGAAUAUGCUCGAAGUACAGGGACUUUUAUGGAAUUCAUUGACAUGAUAGUCCAGCAAGAUGUCAACAUCUCGUCCAACCCUCUUCCAGCAAAGCCAAAGCUGACCAAGGAUCUUCACCCUUUCAAAAUAGGCUGUAUACAGGACAAGUUAUUCCAGUAGGAACAGAUCUAGACUCGCAGCUAACCUUUCUGUCAGUGUCAACAACAACUGAACUUUCACAGCAGUCAACAUCAGAUUGGGAGACUGAUAAUGCUUCUAACAGAAACAAUUUCAACCAACCAAACAAGCAACAGAAACUUUCCAACUUUAAAACAUCAGUUAAAUCUUCCAUGGGAUGAUGUCUCAAAAAAUAACAUUUCAUCAUUUAUGGAGAUUUUAAUGUUAUGGUUUUUCUUUUACAUGAAAGUUAAUGUACACUUGUUUUAUAGUAAAACCUAUAGCCGUUCAAGUAUAAAAAAACACAUUCAACUUAAUUGAAAUUUGAAGAUUCAUAUGACUUAUUUUAAUUCUGUUAUCUCCGAGGAUGUGAUGUAGAGCAUUAUAGGUACAGUAAUCUUAACAGCUAUCCAAUUUCAUUCAAAAUUCUUUAUAAAUUUUGCACUGGUAUAUAUAGACUAAGUAAUUUGUUUUUCGUCUAGUUAUGGGAUUUUUUUUAAGAAGCAUUUAUGAUUUUCAUGUUUGUAUUGACCACAUGUCAGGCAACAUAGAUAUAGGUACCUGGCAAAUCUUGCCUUGCUAACAUACUAGGCUCAAAGGGUCAUAAAAAAAUGUCCAUCACUAAGUGUCUGUUGAAAUCAUCUGUUUACAGUUUUCACUUUUAAACCAUCAUCUUAAUAACUUUAGAAGAAGUGUCAUACAUAUAUAUAUGUAUACAAAAUUUAAAAACUUUUCAAUAUAUAUAUAUAUAUAUAUAUAUAUAUUGAUAAAAACUAUCAACAUGAUAAGAUCUAAAUACCCAAAAUUUCCAGAAAAAUUGGACAUAACAUCUAUGAGCUAUUGUCCCUGAAAUGUGUAAAUUUACAAAUUUUCACAGCUUUCUGCUACUAUCCGACAACUAUAUCAAUAUAUUAUAAGAAUAAAUUGCAAAGGUGGUCAGAAGAAACUUUUUUUUUACAGUCUGAACUUAUUCUGAAUUGUUUAACUUCUAAUUUAAAUUGAUUGCGUUUGAAAUAUGUGUUUUUUAUCGUUUUAGGUGCACAAUUUGUCAAUACGAUCUAUUUCGGCUCCUGGGAGCCUCUAGAUUUAUAAUGAAUAAAUUGUUUUUAUGUAUGAUUAUUUUCUUAAUGUAUUAAAUGAAACAUUAAUUAUUCUU